rnacentral:rRNA from 1 species
CAGCCGCCGCGGUAAUACAGAGGGUGCGAGCGUUAAUCGGAUUUACUGGGCGUAAAGCGUGCGUAGGCGGCUUUUUAAGUCGGAUUUGAAAUCCCUGAGCUUAACUUAGGAAUUGCAUUCGAUACUGGGAAGCUAGAGUAUGGGAGAGGAUGGUAGAAUUCCAGGUGUAGCGGUGAAAUGCGUAGAGAUCUGGAGGAAUACCGAUGGCGAAGGCAGCCAUCUGGCCUAAUACUGACGCUGAGGUACGAAAGCAUGGGGAGCAAACAGGAUUAGAUACCCCGGUAGUCCCUGUCUCUUAUAC